rnacentral:rRNA from 1 species
GUGGGGAAUAUUGGACAAUGGGCGAAAGCCUGAUCCAGCCAUGCCGCGUGUGUGAAGAAGGUCUUCGGAUUGUAAAGCACUUUAAGUUGGGAGGAAGGGCAGUAAGUUAAUACCUUGCUGUUUUGACGUUACCGACAGAAUAAGCACCGGCUAACUUCGUGCCAGCAGCCGCGGUAAUACGAAGGGUGCAAGCUUUAAUCGGAAUUACUGGGCGUAAAGAGCGCGUAGGUGGUUUUGUAAGUAGGAGGUGAAAUCCCCGGGCUCAACCUGGGAACUGCCUCCAAAACUGCAUGACUAGAGUACGGUAGAGGGUAGUGGAAUUUCCUGUGUAGCGGUGAAAUGCGUAGAUAUAGGAAGGAACACCAGUGGCGAAGGCGACUACCUGGACUGAUACUGACACUGAGGUGCGAAAGCGUGGGGAGCAAACAGGAUUAGAAACCCUGGUAGUCC